GACGACCAUAUCAUGUUGAAACACUGGUUCUCGUAUGCUCCCACUAAGUUAAACAGCGUCGAGCCUGGUCAGUAGCUAGAAGGGUGACCGCUUGGAAUACCAGGUGCUGUAAG